ensembl:lncRNA
UGGUUGAAUUGGCUUUCCAGUGCGCCCAUCUACCAAAUAACUACGGAUACUGACUCUGAGCUUCAGCAGUUUUGAAUGACUGACACUUCCCUACUCACCCCUGGGACGUAAUUCCUGCAGGAUUGUGGCAAACUAGUAUUUCAGGUUCCCCUGGCAACCCUGGUGUCGUGUCUCCUGAGAACUGUGCAUACCCAGGACCUGAGAAGACCUGAUUUCUCGCCUCUUCGUGUGUUUGGAAACAGGUUCUCACAGUGUCACUCAAGCUAGUCUCGUUCUCUCUAUGGACCAGUGUUGAGUUCGUUGGGAUCCUUCUGACUCAGCUUCUCGAGGACAGGGAGAACAGGGGAAUUGUUGGAAAGUAAAUAACAAAUUUCACGUGUUUCUCAAAGACCAAAUGAUCUUUGCAAGUACCUAAGUCCAGUCCAAGGACUACGUGCAAAAGAUAACCAGAGCAAAGCUCAGCACAGCCGUGGGUUCAGGUGGUCUCCUAUAUUACGCAUCCACGUCAUCAUUUAUGAGGUAGGCUAAAGCCCAAGAACUAAUGGAGAAUUGUGACACAUGCACAGCAUGCUUCAGGUGUCACACAAUGGUAUCAGUUGUUACACCAGCAAUUAUUACUUGGAAUCCAUGAGUUGAAAGCAGAAAGAUCAAAGAAGCGACAAAACACACAUCUGUUCCUGAUACACGGGCACUGAUUUUCCCCAGGAUGUUCUUCCUUAUGUGUCUUCUUUCAUUUAUAUGUAUGCAUGUAUGUGUAGGAUAGCUCAUUCUUUUCUAGGCAAUGAGGUAAAGAUGGCUGGAAAUAGUAUCUUCAUUUCAUUCAGGUGUUAGAAGAUGCUCAGGCACUCAGCUGUGGCAUAACCACAGUCCCAGCGUUACAGGUUGUGUUAGUAACAGAAUUUCCUUGCUGUAGAACAUGGAAUUUGAGAGAGAAAUGUACUUGGUUGACAAGACGUUACUGGCCGUGACUGUGGCCAAUUGUAAUCAUAGACCCAAAGAAUUUUUACACAGUAUUUUCAGGCAUGAAAGGAAAAACACAUGUCCCUUAAAAAUAGAGACGUGAUCCAGGGGUACAGUAUGGCAUACUUCUUUAAUACCAGCUCUUGAGCCACAAAGGUGGGUGGACCUCUGUGGGUUCAAGGCCAGCCUGAUCUAUGUAGUCAGGGCUAGACCUUUAGUGAGACCCUAUCUAGAAAUAAAUAAAUAAUAAACACCUAAACAUGCUCAGCUUCCUUCGAGUUUCUGUGGUGGGAAGGAGUGUGGUAAGAUGCCUGCAUGCUUUGCCCUGCCCUCGAGCCUGAGAAUGAGGAUUGGUUAAUGUACAGUAGAGCC